GAGAUAGAGUUCCAUUGCUGUUAUGAGCUUGGAGUCUUUGAAUGUCAAAGUUAGAGAAACCAUCAUGCUCCUCCUUCAUUUUAUAAAUAAGAGAACUGAAAUCCUGAGAGACUGAAGAAUUUCCCUAAGUCAAGUUCAUGAGCAGCACAGGCAAGAUUUAGAUGAACUUUCUUCCAGAAAGAGCUGUUGUCUUUCUCCAGCUUGCUCCUCUGUGCUAGCCCUUCUUAAAGCACUCCCAACACAUUCUGCCAAUCUCCCUGAACCAGCAGGAACAGCAGAAGGAACAGGAAUCCAGGCUACUAAAGGACAGAGAACACAAAAGAGUCAAGUUUCACUGUGAUGCCAGCCUACUGUCCAGGGCUGAUGCUCAGAAAUCAAGACCUGCCACUGCCUAAAGCAAUUUCAUGUGUAUAGAAAAAGUGAAGAAACAACUAUCAAUAUGUUGGCUCUAUGAGCAGAAAAAGAACCUCACAAAAGAAUCAAAGUACACUUUUGGAAAUUCAUCCUGACAAAGGUGAAACAUCUGACACUGGGAACAACCACUGAAUAUUUCAACUGGAAAAGUCAACACUGGUAUGGGAGGGGUGGGGGGGUGGAAUGGGUGUAGAAAAUUAAGAGGUAGAAACUUCCUAUUAUAAAAUAAGUAAGUCUUGGAGAUGUAAUUUCAGCAUAGGGAAUACGGUCAAUAAUAUUGUAAUAACUUUGUAUGGUGGCAGAUGGUUACCAGACUUACUGUGGUGAUCAUAAUGUACAUAAAUGUCAAACCAUUAUGAAGUACUCCUGAAACAAAUAUAAUAUUGUAUGUCAAUUGCAUGU